ensembl:lncRNA
GAGAUGGUGUGAAGAGUAUGACAAGAAAUGGGUGUGUGUCUCUGUUUUGUGAGGUGCAGAAUGGAAGUGGAAAAAACGACAGAAUAAAUAAGGCUCUCAGGUAUUUACUAGUUUGGAAAUAAAACCACGGUUUGAAUCCAAUAGGUCAAUUACAUAUAAAUACAGUGUGGAAGGCAGAUAGCCAGAAAUAACAGAUUUUAUUCUCCAGAGGGAAAGGGAGAAUUAACCAGAGCAGAAGCUUCUGGAACAAGGAUACUCCAUUAGAUAAGAACGAGACUCCGCUCCUUUGUAAAAGUGGCAUAUAUGGGAAGAAUCAGAAAGCUUUCUCAAAGUUUGGGAAAAUGGUAAGGUUGGGGAAUGUCCGAGAAUUGCCAUGCCAUCUGAAUCAUUAUAACCUUGCAUGUACCUUAUUGAAUAAGUCUAGAGCUGGCGUUAACCUCUUUUUGACCACUGGAAUGUACUGACCUACGUUUACACAUCCCCCAGAGAGAACUUAACUGCUUUAAUCAUCCUUUUAACUUUAUUUCUUUGUAAAAGGCUUACUAGAGAGUGAUAAAAAUUUCACUCUUAAACUGUGCCUUUGAUGGAUUUAAUGAUCAAGCACAUCUGAAGGGUUAUUGUUGAAUGAUUUUAAGUCAAAAAUAUAUUUAUUUGACAUCAGACAACUGUUCUAUUUUAUGUGCUAUCUACUUUAUUAAAAAUAUCUUCUGAGCUAUUAUAAUGGGU